CAAAGAGCCAGGGGGAGCCAGGAAAAGCUCGAAAAUCAGCGUAACGCUGUUGGAGAUGAGAGGGCACAGCACAAUUUUGAGAGCCAAACAAAGGCGGGGCACAGAGCUGUUGCCUCGAGAUGUGUGGCCUCAGAAGGUCUUGUCGAGGAUUCAAGGAGAUUCAAAACCCGUGUCACUGCUGCCAUCUUCCUAGAAUCCCUUUAAAUCCUCAUGGAUUUGCUGACAUUGGGAGCAUCCUGAAAGAGUCCCCAUGCUAGGGUGGCUGCAGUAACAGGUUCUCCCCACUCCAGAAAAAAUCAAAUCAGAUUGUGAAUUUAUUCCCUGACAUUAACACACGGCAUUACAGGAGCAUGUACAUCACAUGGUCAAUUUAUUGGCAUGAGGAUUAUGUCAUCGGGGAAUAAAUGGGAAAUUCUCAAGGUACUUUGCUCCAGUAAUCAGGA
rnacentral:lncRNA from 1 species